UUUUUGCAGUUUUGUGCCCUUUGUAUUACUAUUACCAGAGGCAACCAUGGAAUUAUUUCCUUCUUGGUACUUUCACUCUGUCUCUUGCUUUUGCUGUGGGGUUGACAUGUGCCUUCACAAGUGGAAAAGUGAUACUGGAAUCCGUAAUCUUAACUGCUGCAGUGAUGAUAAGUCUAACCUUGUACACAUUCUGGGCUGCAAAGAGAGGGCACAAUUUCAAUUUCCUCGGACCCUUUCACUUUGGUGCAUUUUCAUUAUUUAAUAUCAAAUCGUCAUAUUCGACUUACAAGAAUAAAUUACGAUCGAAAUAUGCAUCAAAGCCGAUUGUUCAUUUAUGUGAUUGUUUGUUUAUACAAUUUCUUGUUUCAGAUUUUCUUCCCAUUGGGUCGUAUAAGCGUAAUGAUCUACGGCUCCAUAAUAUUCUUCGGGUACAUCGUUUACGACACUGAUAAUCUGAUCAAACGAUAUAUGUACGAUCAGUACAUUUGGGCUGCCGUUGCACUCUAUUUGGAUGUCAUCAAUCUCUUCCUUUCCUUGAUGACCGUUUUCAGAGUUGCCGAUAGUCAGAUUAAACCGAGUUGCUUCACUUUCUUCUCAUUUGAUAUUACAAUACUAGAAACCGAGCAUAUUAGCAUGUGCUCGUUUUCUUGCUUUUCAUUUUAAUUGCCAAUUUGCAUUAUUGUUUUAUUUUCUGUUUGAAUUUCCAGCUACUAGGUAGCAGCCUUUCAUGGACUCUGCCAUUGUUCCCUAUUGACUUGAAUCUAUAUAAAGGACCCUUUUUUG